GACGAACGCUGGCGGCACGCUUAACACAUGCAAGUCGAACGAGAGAAGAGAAGCUUGCUUUUCUGAUCUAGUGGCGGACGGGUGAGUAACACGUGAGCAAUCUGCCUUUCAGAGGGGGAUACCGAUUGGAAACGAUCGUUAAUACCGCAUAAUAUAAUUGAACCGCAUGAUUUGAUUAUCAAAGAUUUAUCGCUGAAAGAUGAGCUCGCGUCUGAUUAGCUAGUUGGUAAGGUAACGGCUUGCCAAGGCGACGAUCAGUAGCCGGGCUGAGAGGUUGAUCGGCCACAUUGGGACUGAGACACGGCCCAGACUCCUACGGGAGGCAGCAGUGGGGAAUAUUGCACAAUGGAGGAAACUCUGAUGCAGCGAUGCCGCGUGAGGGAAGAAGGUUUUAGGAUUGUAAACCUCUGUCUUCAGGGACGAAAAAAGACGGUACCUGAGGAGGAAGCUCCGGCUAACUACGUGCCAGCAGCCGCGGUAAUACGUAGGGAGCGAGCGUUGUCCGGAAUUACUGGGUGUAAAGGGAGCGUAGGCGGGAUCGCAAGUCAGAUGUGAAAACUAUGGGCUUAACCCAUAAACUGCAUUUGAAACUGUGGUUCUUGAGUGAAGUAGAGGUAAGCGGAAUUCCUAGUGUAGCGGUGAAAUGCGUAGAUAUUAGGAGGAACAUCAGUGGCGA
rnacentral:rRNA from 1 species